rnacentral:rRNA from 1 species
UACCCUCGGGAGGGGGAUAACCCCGGGAAACUGGGGCUAAUCCCCCAUAGGCCUGAGGUACUGGAAGGUCCUCAGGCCGAAAGGGGCUCUGCCCGCCCGAGGAUGGGCCGGCGGCCGAUUAGGUAGUUGGUGGGGUAACGGCCCACCAAGCCGAAGAUCGGUACGGGCCAUGAGAGUGGGAGCCCGGAGAUGGACACUGAGACACGGGUCCAGGCCCUACGGGGCGCAGCAGGCGCGAAACCUCCGCAAUGCUCGAAAGAGCGACGGGGGGACCCCCAGUGCCGUGGCAACGCCACGGCUUUUCCGGAGUGUAAAAAGCUCCGGGAAUAAGGGCUGGGCAAGGCCGGUGGCAGCCGCCGCGGUAAUACCGGCGGCCCGAGUGGUGGCCGCUAUUAUUGGGCCUAAAGCGUCCGUAGCCGGGCCAGUAAGUCCCUGGCGAAAUCCCACGGCUCAACCGUGGGGCUUGCUGGGGAUACUGCUGGCCUUGGGACCGGGAGAGGCGGAGGGUACUCCUGGGGUAGGGGUGAAAUCCUAUAAUCCCAGGAGGACCGCCAGUGGCGAAGGCGCUCCGCUGGAACGGGUCCGACGGUGAGGGA